UCAGGAUGAACGCUAGCUACAGGCUUAACACAUGCAAGUCGAGGGGCAGCAUUGGGGUAGCAAUACUCAGAUGGCGACCGGCGCACGGGUGAGUAACACGUAUCCAACCUGCCGCUUACUCGGGGAUAGCCUUUCGAAAGAAAGAUUAAUACCCGAUGGUAUAAAGAGUUCGCAUGUUCUCUUUAUUAAAGAAUUUCGGUAAGCGAUGGGGAUGCGUUCCAUUAGAUAGUUGGCGGGGUAACGGCCCACCAAGUCUACGAUGGAUAGGGGUUCUGAGAGGAAGGUCCCCCACAUUGGAACUGAGACACGGUCCAAACUCCUACGGGAGGCAGCAGUGAGGAAUAUUGGUCAAUGGACGAGAGUCUGAACCAGCCAAAAGUAGCGUGAAGGAUGACUGCCCUAUGGGUUGUAAACUUCUUUUAUAAGGGAAUAAAGUGAGGGACGUGUCCCUUUUUGUAUGUACCUUAUGAAUAAGGAUCGGCUAACUCCGUGCCAGCCGCCGC
rnacentral:rRNA from 1 species